AUGCCAUGGUGAUGGCAUUUACGCAACAACUCAUUAAACUACUCCCAUGCCUCAUAUAAAGAUUCUUCAUCAAGUUGUUGAAAUAAAGUAAUCUCAUUGCAGAGCUU